rnacentral:rRNA from 1 species
AGAGUUUGAUCCUGGCUCAGGACGAACGCUGGCGGCGUGCCUAAUACAUGCAAGUAGAACGCUGAAGGAGGAGCUUGCUUCUCCGGAUGAGUUGCGAACGGGUGAGUAACGCGUAGGUAACCUGCCUGGUAGCGGGGGAUAACUAUUGGAAACGAUAGCUAAUACCGCAUAAGAGUAGAUGUUGCAUGACAUUUACUUAAAAGGUGCAAAUGCAUCACUACCAGAUGGACCUGCGUUGUAUUAGCUAGUUGGUGGGGUAACGGCUCACCAAGGCGACGAUACAUAGCCGACCUGAGAGGGUGAUCGGCCACACUGGGACUGAGACACGGCCCAGACUCCUACGGGAGGCAGCAGUAGGGAAUCUUCGGCAAUGGGGGCAACCCUGACCGAGCAACGCCGCGUGAGUGAAGAAGGUUUUCGGAUCGUAAAGCUCUGUUGUAAGUCAAGAACGAGUGUGAGAGUGGAAAGUUCACACUGUGACGGUAGCUUACCAGAAAGGGACGGCUAACUACGUGCCAGCAGCCGCGGUAAUACGUAGGUCCCGAGCGUUGUCCGGAUUUAUUGGGCGUAAAGCGAGCGCAGGCGGUUUGAUAAGUCUGAAGUUAAAGGCUGUGGCUCAACCAUAGUUCGCUUUGGAAACUGUCAAACUUGAGUGCAGAAGGGGAGAGUGGAAUUCCAUGUGUAGCGGUGAAAUGCGUAGAUAUAUGGAGGAACACCGGUGGCGAAAGCGGCUCUCUGGUCUGUAACUGACGCUGAGGCUCGAAAGCGUGGGGAGCGAACAGGAUUAGAUACCCUGGUAGUCCACGCC